GUUUUCUAGUUAUUAAUCACAUGUGAUUGAUGUAAUAACUAUAAGUAUUCAACUUGUAUCCCCCCAUAAAAGUAUUUAAAACAUUUAAAAGUAUUUGAAAGGUUAAUUAAAGGGGUAUGAACUCACAUGUAGUGAGUGGUUCUGAUGACAAUGUUGGAUUAGACGCUAGGUGCCAAGUGGUGACUUGAGUACACGUGCGAAUCCUAUUUAGCAUAUAUUGGCACAUAUAUGGAUUUAAUUAGUGUUAUGAACAACUAAUUGAUGAUUUUGGGACCACCUUAGGGACUAGUAAACACUUAUAAUGAAGUGUUAUAAUCAUAUAUGAUUGUAUGAGGGUUUAUAAGGCUAUACAAGAGGGUGUAUGGCCAAAAUACACACUAUAUGUGUGUGUGCGGCCAGGUGUGCUGCUAGCACAUGUGUGCGGACCUGUGUGCGGCCAUGUGUGCUUCCAGGUGGUGUGUGCUGCCAUGUGUGCGGCCAGAUGAUGAUCUUGGUGUUCUUGGUACCUUUUAUGAUGAUCUUCAAGGAGAAUGGAUGAUACUUGAGAUGAUUUUCGUGUUCUAUGCUUGAAGAAGUGAAUGAAGUGUUCAAGAAUGAACUAAGUGUGGCAUAUAUAUGUGGAGUGUGCGGUUGGGAAGGUGUGAGGCUACAAACAAGAGUGUGUGGCCGCACACUCAAGUGUAUGGCUGCACACUCCAUGUGUUGGAGUGUUUGGCCCGGUUUUGAUUCCUACACUUCGAGUUAACCCUUUUUAACAUUCCUACCUUGAUUAUCUCACAUUUAGAAUGCUUCAUUAGACUCUAAAGGGGUACUACUAUAUAGUAAAAUAAGUCUAAUAUUGGAAAGAAUUGAAGAGUGCAUGCGAGUAGUUUUUCGGGGUGUCACAUCAUCCCCCUGUUAAGGGAAUUUCGUCCCGAAAUUUGAGUUUAAGUUACUACAUUAAAUAACUAAGUAAAAAGAUGAGGAUAUUUCAGUUUCAUCUGAUCCUUGCGUUCCCAAGUGAAUUCCGGUCCGCGCUUGGCGUUCCAGCGAACCUUCACAAUCGGGAUACGGCUUUGCUUCGUCUGCUUGACCUCACGGUCCAUGACUUCUACGGGUUCUUCCACGAAGUUGAGGCUCUCGUUGAUUUUGAUCUCGUCGAGUGGAAUUACAAGAGUCUCGUCGGAUAGACACUUUUUCAAGUUAGAUACGUGGAAUGUAGAAUGUACGUUACGAAGUGCGUCUGGUAGUUCGAGUUUGUAAGCUACGGGGCCGACUCUUGCAAGAAUCUCGAAAGGCCCUAUGUACCUCGGAUUAAGCUUUCCACGCUUGCCGAAGCGUAUCAAGCCCUUCCAGGGUGAGACUUUGAGGAGGACUCGGUCUCCCACCUGAAAUUCCAAAGGUUUCCUUCGUUUAUCAGCGUAGCUCUUCUGUCGGUCUCUAGAGGCUUUCAAUCGUUCACGGAUCUGAACGAUCUUCUCUGUCGUUUCCCGAAUGAUUUCCGGACCGGUGAGAGUACUGUCGGAAGUUUGCCCCCUGGCUAAUUGGGUAUCACCCACCUCAGCCCAGCACAGAGGGGAUCUGCACUUACGGCCGUAGAGAGCUUCAAAUGGAGCAGCCUUGAUGCUCGUGUGAUAACUGUUAUUAUAGGAAAACUCGACAAGGGGUAAAUGAGUAUCCCAUGCCUUCCCAAAGUCAAUCACGCAGGCUCGCAACAUAUCUUCCAGAGUUUGGAUGGUCCUCUCACUCUGUCCGUCGGUCUGAGGAUGGUAGGCUGUGCUCAUGUCCAGCCUUGUUCCUAGGGAAUGUUGUAGUGAUUGCCAAAAUCUUGAGGUGAACCUACUAUCUCUAUCGGAGAUAAUGGACAUAGGUACACCAUGUAGCCGUACGAUUUCCCUAAUGUAUGUUCUCGUAAGUUUCUCCAUCUUGUCGGUUUCUUUGAUAGGCAGGAAGUGUGCAGACUUGGUCAAUCUAUCAACGAUGACCCAUAUGGUGUCAAGUCCACCCGUUGUCUUGGGCAACUUGGUUAUGAAAUCCAUAGUGAUCCGCUCCCACUUCCAUUCCGGGAUCUCUGGUUGCUGCAAUAAACCAGAGGGCUUCUGGUACUCGACCUUAACCUUUGCGCAAGUAAGGCAUUUACUUACGAAGGUAGCAAUCUCUGCUUUCAUAUUAGGCCACCAGUAUAGCUUCUUAAGAUCCAGAUACAUCUUAUCUGAACCUGGGUGGACGGAAUACCGAGUGUUGUGCGCCUCGGUCAUGACCAAGUCUCGGAAGCCACCAUGUUUCGGUGUCCAGAUCCGGUUCAUGAAAUAUAAAGCUCCGUCACCCUUGGCUUCUAAAUUCUUGUCCAUUCCUCUAAGGGAUUCACUUGACACAUUUUCAGAUUUCAUGGCCUCAAGUUGAGCCGCCUGAAUUUGCUUAGUCAGGUGUGAAUGGAUGGUUAUCGAUAAUGACUUGACUUUGCGACCAGAAUAUUCCUUCCGACUUAGGGCGUCUGCUACUACGUUGGCUUUACCCGGAUGAUAACGAAUAUCGCAUUCGUAAUCACUGAGUAGCUCGACCCAUCGUCGUUGUCUCAUGUUGAGCUCCUUCUGAUCGAAAAUGUGUUGUAAACUCUUGUGGUCGGUAAAGAUAGUGCUCUUCGUUCCAUACAAGUAAUGUCUCCAGAUCUUCAGAGCAAACACUACUGCUCCUAGUUCAAGAUCGUGGGUCGUGUAGUUAACCUCGUGUGUCUUCAAUUGUCUCGAGGCGUAGGCGAUGACCUUACCUCGCUGCAUCAGAACACAUCCGAGCCCUUGAUUCGAUGCAUCGCAAUAAACUACGAAGUCUUCUAUUCCUUCCGGAAGGGAUAGUAUUGGUGCGGUGCACAAGGCUCGUUUGAGCGUUUGGAACGCUCUUUCUUGUUUCUCUUCCCAGUCAAAGGCCACACCUUUCUGGGUUAGGGUUGUAAGAGGCUUCGCUAUUCGUGAGAAGUUCUGAAUGAACCUGCGGUAGUAGCCAGCGAGACCUAGAAAUUGACGAAUUUCUGUAGGAGUCUUCGGUGCUGACCAGUUCUCAAUGGCCUUAAUUUUGGAUGGGUCCACGUGGAUUCCCUCUUCGCUUACCACGUGUCCUAAGAAUUCGACUCUUCGGAUCCAAAAUUCACAUUUCGAGAACUUCGCAUAAAGUUUCUCUUUUCGUAAUGUCCCUAGAACUUGUCGCAGAUGAUCGCCAUGUUCUUUCUUACUUCGGGAGUAGAUUAGGAUGUCGUCAAUGAAAACGAUGACGAACUGAUCCAAGUAGGGUCGGCAUACUCUAUUCAUCAGAUCCAUGAAGACUGCGGGCGCAUUGGUCAAUCCGAAUGGCAUCACCACGAACUCGUAAUGUCCGUAACGAGUUCGGAAGGCGGUCUUCGGCACAUCCUCCUCUAGCACUCGUAACUGGUGAUAUCCGGAUCUCAGAUCAAUCUUAGAAAAAUAGUUCGCCCCUUGCAGUUGGUCGAAUAGAUCAUCUAUGCGUGGUAGAGGAUAACGAUUCUUGACCGUCAGUUUGUUGAGUUCUCUGUAGUCAAUACACAUACGGAAGGAUCCGUCCUUCUUCUUAACAAACAAGACCGGUGCUCCCCAAGGUGAGAAACUUGGCCUUAUAAAGCCCUUGCUGAGCAGUUCGUUAAGUUGACCAGAGAGUUCUUGCAUCUCGGCUGGUGCUAAACGGUAGGGCGACUUGGCUACUGGGGUAGCUCCUGGGACUAAGUCGAUUCUGAACUCGACUUGUCGUUGCGGAGGUAAUCCGGGUAGUUCUUCUGGGAAAAUGUCGGGGAAGUCGCUCACUACUGGGAGGUUCUUUAGUUCUUUCGUUUCUAGGUUCGUGUCGACGACGUGAGCAAGGAAUGCGUGGUAUUCCUUACGCAGGUAUUUCUGUGCUUGAAUACUUGAUAUGAUGCGAAGACUUGCACCGGGUUUGUCGCCAUAGACUAUAAGAGUUUCGUUAGACGGAAGGUUUAGACGGACUGCUUUCUCGAAGCACAUGAUGUCGGCACGAUGAAGGCUUAACCAGUCCAUGCCAAUGAUGACGUCGAAACUUUUUAUUGAGACUGGCAUGAGGUCGAUUGGAAAUGAAUGGUUGUCUAGGGUUAGGGUACAACCUAAGUAUAUGCUACUCGUAUUUUCAGUUUUUCCAUUAGCCAUUUCUACUGUAAAUAGUUCUUUGAGUGCGUGCGGUGGUUGAUUAAGCAUGCGAGCAAAUUUAUGGUUUACGAAGCUUCGCUCCGCUCCACUAUCGAAUAGAAUGCAUGCAUAGGAGUUAUCGAGGAGGAACGUACCGGUUACUACUGUCGGGUCAGCAACUGCUUCCCCGUGGCCUAUAGCCAGUACCCUCCCUGCUCCUCCAGCAUUCCUCGCUUUGGGGCAGUCCCUCUUAAAGUGGCCUGCUUCGCCACAUCCAUAGCAGGUUGGGCUCGCGCCAGAGCCAGGGACUUGGUUGAUAGGUUGUGCCGGGAACUUACAGAAUCGGACGGUGUGUCCUUUCCUGUUGCAGUUAGAGCACUGCAAUUCACGGCAGGGGCCGUUGUGGUGGUAGCUGCAUUUGUUGCACUUGGGCGAACUUCCAGCAUACCGACUCACCGGAGCAGUAGUAGCAGCAGUAGGGGUUACUGCGGCAUGAAUUGCCACCAAUUGCUGCUUUUUGGCAGCCUGAUGCUUCUUCCUUUCAUCCCAGAAUUUCCGCUUAGUAUCGGCGGGUUUGGAGGGUUCCGGGAUGGCUAGGGUGGUUGUGGUUGCAGGGGUUUUGACUCCAUGGUCAAUGAGUCGUUGUGCCAAUCGUUUGGCACUGUCGAAGGUAGCGGGGUUUGACGCUAGCACAUUCCCCUGAUACGGAGGCACUAGUCCCCAUAUGUACCUCUCGAUCUUCUUCCCCUCGGUGGGAACCAUAUUGGGGCAGAGGGCCACCAGCUCGCUGAAUCGGGCAGUAUAAGCGACCACAUUGGUGCCCUUCAUCGACAGGUUCCAGAGUUCCUGCUCCAGUUUCUGGAUCUCGCCCCUCGGGCAGUAUUCCUCAGUCAUGAGGUCUUUCAUUGUUUCCCAGCCCAUGUCGUUGGCUACGACGAGAGUUAGGGCUUUGACGUGGCCGUUCCACCACGUUAGGGCUUUACCCUCAAAGGUGCAGGCGGCAUAUUUCACCUUGCACGCAGCAGGGCAUGAACAAAUUUCGAAGACUGAUUCAGUCUUCUCGAACCACUGCGAGAGAGCAAUGACUCCGCCGGUGCCAUAGAAAGGCUUCGGCUUGCAGUUUGUAAAAUCCUUGUAAGAGCACUCCCUUGAGCGCACAGGGAUUUCGAUCGGAAUAGAUUCCACAGGGGUUCCACCUCUGCUGGCAUCAGAAGAGUGAUACUGAGCCAUGGCAGUUGCCACUGCUGCAGCUACAACAGCAUUCAGGGCUACAGUAUCGAUGACCGGAGGCGGAGGAGGUGGUGGAGGUGCAGGAUUAUUCCUAUUCCUGGGAGACUUGCGAGGAGGCAUCCUUCAGCUGAAAGUUUAAAAAGAUAAGAAAGAUGGUAAGAAUCAAUUUGUAAGCAACGCGAGAGUGACACAUGGACUAACUAAACAUAGUCCAACAGUUGAAAGGGUGCUUGAAACCACAACAAGCAUUAUUAGUAGGAAAGCACAAGUGUAUAGAUUUUUCCCCAGAUAGAUAGAUCUCAAAAAUUUACUGGUAUUACUGAUGUAAUAAGUUCAGGGAAAAUCGACCUAACAGUAGGUCAUACAUCAUACCAUAUAGAAAAGUUUGACAGUCCUUAGAUUUCAAAUUUGAGUACGGAAGUUAGAAACAUUUUACACACAAGCGCUACUUGGAGCACAGAUGUUAAAGGCUAUCCUUUAAUUAAAAGACGGAGCUGUACUAGACAUCAACCAACGGCGAUGGGAAAAUCCCGGGCGAGUACUGCGGUCGGAUACUUGACGAAACACCUCUUGAAUGGGUCGAUCCUGAGUCCUCUGACGAGCUCGAAGUUCCAAUAUUUCAGCUCGUGAGGCAGCCAACUGCUACAGCAGGGUUUUAUUUGUCCUCCGGGUCCGUUCCAUGUCUUCUUCAAGACGGCGGAUGCUGACUGUGUUGACACCUGAGUCGGCAUCAAUCUCUAUGACCCGGUCGACGGCUGCUCCACCUUGCUCGACAAUACGAGCUAUUCUGCGGAUAAUGACAGGCAGAGCUCGGUCAGUAGAGCCACCAUCGCUGACGUUGUAAAAGGUUCGGUCCCCAAAGUAUGGUAAGGGUUGACCCUGAUCAUCACUCCAGCGGUUCGGUUGUUUGCCCACAUGGGUGUAGGACCUGGAAACGCUGGUCGAGGGUUGUUGUUCGGGGCUUGACCUACAAUCGGUAGGUUGUUGACUUCAGGCUCGGAGUCGGACCCAUCUGAAAAGCCUUCUGCGAGGUGAUCAUCCAAAGGGAUUGGAUGAUCAACUUCGGGCUCUUCAUCGAUCCACCCGGCAUUGCCUUCAUUGGGAAAGUACGGGUCGCCAUGAUGGAUAUCUAGCCAUCAAGAUCUACGCGAGAAUAGAGGUAUAAGAAUAUAGUAUACGUGUAACUAGUAGCGCAAAAUACUCCUAUAGUAUUUUAAGUUUAAGUUCUAUUGAUCUUCUUGUGGUAUUGUUGGUAAGUUUUUAGACUUGCUAACCUAUCACAACCAUUCUAAGGCAUGUGCUAAUCACUCCUAGGAUCAGCAUAGUUGAUCAGGCUAUGCCAUUCCCAGGACUGACCAUACAUCCCCGAGCUCACUUGUGAUAUUUAACAAUCGUAAUACUUUUGUUCUUGUCAUUGUGACACUUAUUUUAGUAUGAAUGCAGACUAGUAUACUUAGUUAAAUAUUUUAUUAUUUUAAGUAUAGACUCUUGGUCAGAGUUUAAUCCCCAAUGGGUUUAUAGUUUAGUAUAUCUUUUAUGGGUUGAUAUACUCAAUUCACUAUAAACAAUGCUCUGAUACCAAUCUGUCACACCCCAAAACCAAGAACGGCGGAAACGUUCUGGGGCGGAGGACGUCAUGUAAGGUAAUCACAACACAGUAAAUGUAAAUAGGCAAACAACAUCAUCCAUUGCAUUAAAUAUAUAAAUUUAAUACAUGCGUGUUCUGUACAGUUUUAGACACCAAAAAUAUAACGUAAAUCAAAAUAAUAAAAUGAUGAGUCUUGAGUACGCUCCAUCAUCUCAAAAGCUGGCAUCGGUACCUGUCUACUGAUGACCUGAGAAUACAAGUUAUUUUGAAAGAGUUUAUCAGCAUUAAGCUGGUGAGUUCAUAAGUAUUUUAGUGUCAAUGUUCAUUGUCAAAAACGUUUGAACUUGUCCCAAUGUAUAAGUUUGUAAAAAUGUAAAUAAAUGUUUAAAAGUAUUUGCAAAAGUUUGAAUCUCUCAGAAAAUCCUAUAUUUUCUAUAAUAGUAACCUUCUACCAAGGCUUAACUGUUUUGUAAACUCGUCUGUUGUAAAAGUGUGUGAUUACCCAAGUAUAACUAUCAUUUGAUAAAAUAUAGUUUGUACAUUAAUGCUUAAGUGAGAUUAUCACCAAAAUAUGUAAUGGGUAAAUCAUUGUAGUACUGUAGUUUUGUAUAAUAAGAACUACUGUUGUACUAAUUACUACUACCUUAAACCGGAUUUAUAUUAAGGUAUAAUGUGAUAAUUGCACCAUACUAUCGACUGAUAACAACGACAUAAAGAACGGUCGUAAUAACGGAAUGACGUUUGGCACCCGCAGACCUGCAGGUCCGGCUGUAGCUAGCAGCAAGGUGUAGGAUAGUCAAUCCAGUAUAGAUCUAUACGCAAACUCAACGCUCUCCCUCCAAGAGAAUUCUGGCUACAACUCGGGCCAUGACAUUUAAGGCAUGCUCCGAUACAGUGGAUCACAUUUGUUAUCGUAUUCUUGCAUGUGUGAUGAAAUGUUUCUUGUUCUAGUAUAGUUGUAUAUGUUCUCGUAGUAUAGUUGUAUAUAUUCUCUUCCUAGUAUAGACUCAUGAAUGAACUGACUCAUUGAUCUAGCAGUUGUAAUAGUAUGAUUCUGUGUUACCCCGAUGGUAACUUGUUAACAGUGCGUUUAGUACAUAUGAUUAUGGAAGUACUUUUAUGUCUAUAUAUGUAUAUUUGAUAUAUAAUUAAUAUGGAAACGACCUUCGGAUGGUCACCCAAAAUCCUAUCAGACCACAUCCAAAUCGAGGAAAAGGAAACAAGGUGGAUAGCCUUCCUAAGCCCUUUAAACAUUAUUUAUACGUCUAUACAUAUAUGGGCAUGCAAUUUGUAAUAUAAAAGCAUAAAUAAGUAUUUAUAAGGCAUUUGAAACAUAAGUAUUAUUUUUAAAGAAAGAUUGACUUGAUGUCAAUCUAUAAAACCAUUUGAAGGUGUAGAUUUGAUUAAAACAGUUUAAGUAUAAGGAACAUUUGCUUAAAUCACAGUUGCAGUGUAAAUUCGAAAAGUAAAUGGGUUUGGAAAACAUUUAGAAGUAAAACAGUUUGAUAGAUAGUUUGAAUAGUGAUAAAACCACUGAUUUCCCUAGUUAUUAAUCACAUGUGAUUAGUACAAUCACAUGUGAUUGAAACAAUAACUAUAAGUAUUUAACUUGUAUUCCCCCCCUUUUGAAAGCAUAUAAAAGCAUUUAGAAUAUUUAACAGGUUGAUUAAGGGGUAUGAAACUCACUUGAUUGAUUGAAGAAAGCGAGAUGGAAAACCGGGCAGAGUUUCGUCUCGGAAAACGGAUUUUUCUCGGGAUUCUCGGGAAUCUCGGGAGUAAAAUCGACCCUCGGGACUUGAGCAAAAAGACCAGAGCUUCGGGUUAUAACGGGCACGGAAAACGAGACAAAGUUGUGAGAGAGAGGAGAGAAAUGAGCAACAUUUUCGGAAAGCCUCGCAUCCUAUUUAUAGGAAGGCUGAACCGCCUCCGAACGCGGGGCGUACGCUCGUACGCAGCGCGUACGCGUACGUCAUGCAUGACCGAAGCCUCGACUGCCUCGGUUCGGAUGGGACGGGUUGCUGGGUACGCGGGUCGGAUGGGACGGCGGGUCGGACGGGACAGCGGGUCGGACGGGUCGGAGCUUCGGACGGGUCGGACGGGUUAGAACUCUUCGGAUAGUGCGACGUGGACGAUCCGAGACCCUCGAUCUCAGUACGCGGGGCGUACGAAGGUACGCAGGGCGUACUUCGGUCCAAUCCGAUGACUCCCCUUCGGAUAUUACCGGGAAUUUAUAAUUAAAUUCUUAUUUAUUUUAAAUAAACUUCAAAAAUUCAUAUCUCUCUCAUACGAACUCCGUUUUUGACGUUCUUUAUAUCCACGCGAAGGUGAGACCAUGAUCUACGACUUUCGUUUAGAUUCCGUUGGCUAAUUCCGAAAUUAUUUUUAUUAUUUAUUUAUUAAAAUGACGUGAUUAAGGAAUUUCUUCAAAAAUUCAUAACUUCCUCAUCCGAAGUCAGAUUUGGACGUUCUUUUUAUGUACGCAAACCUUGAUAUGAUUCCUAUUACUUUAUUUAAUCCGAAUAAGAUUUUAGGAAGGUUACAUUUUGACCUAAAUUUGAUCGGUUUUACAUUACAUUGACUCGAAAUAUCGGGUUGUCACAUCAUCCCCCCGUUAGAAGGAAUUUCGUCCCGAAAUUAGAAUUUUAAGCAAGCUAGAAUUUACAAAUAACUAAGCAAAAAGGUGAGGGUAUUUCAGUUUCAUCUGAUCCUCACGUUCCCAAGUGAAUUCCGGUCCUCGCUUGGCAUUCCAGCGAACCUUCACGAUAGGGAUACGGCUUUGCUUUGUCUGCUUGACCUCACGGUCCAUGAUCUCUAUAGGUUCUUCCACGAAGUUGAGGCUCUCGUUGAUUUCGAUCUCGUCGAGUGGGAUUACAAGAGUCUCGUCGGAUAGACACUUUUUCAAGUUAGAUACGUGGAAUGUAGAAUGUACGUUACGAAGUGCGUCUGGUAGUUCGAGUUUGUAAGCUACGGGGCCGACUCUUGCAAGAAUCUCGAAAGGCCCUAUGUACCUCGGAUUAAGCUUUCCACGCUUGCCGAAGCGUAUCAAGCCCUUCCAGGGUGAGACUUUGAGGAGGACUCGGUCUCCCACCUGAAAUUCCAAAGGUUUCCUUCGUUUAUCAGCGUAGCUCUUCUGUCGGUCUCUAGAGGCUUUCAAUCGUUCACGGAUCUGAACGAUUUUCUCUGUUGUUUCCCGAAUGAUCUCCGGACCGGUGAGAGUACUGUCGGAAGUUUGCCCCCUGGCUAAUUGGGUAUCACCCACCUCAGCCCAGCACAGAGGGGAUCUGCACUUACGGCCGUAGAGAGCUUCAAAUGGAGCAGCCUUGAUGCUCGUGUGAUAACUGUUAUUAUAGGAAAACUCGACAAGGGGUAAAUGAGUAUCCCAUGCCUUCCCAAAGUCAAUCACGCAGGCUCGCAACAUAUCUUCUAGAGUUUGGAUGGUCCUCUCACUCUGUCCGUCGGUCUGAGGAUGGUAGGCUGUGCUCAUGUCCAGCCUCGUUCCUAGGGAAUGUUGUAGUGAUUGCCAAAAUCUUGAGGUGAACCUACUAUCUCUAUCGGAGAUAAUGGACAUAGGUACACCAUGUAGCCGUACGAUUUCCCUAAUGUAUGUUCUCGUAAGCUUCUCCAUCUUGUCGGUUUCUUUGAUAGGCAGGAAGUGUGCAGACUUGGUCAAUCUAUCAACGAUGACCCAUAUGGUGUCAAGUCCACCCGUUGUCUUGGGCAACUUGGUUAUGAAAUCCAUAGUGAUCCGCUCCCACUUCCAUUCCGGGAUCUCUGGUUGCUGCAAUAAACCAGAGGGCUUCUGGUACUCGACCUUAACCUUUGCGCAAGUAAGGCAUUUACUUACGAAGGUAGCAAUCUCUGCUUUCAUAUUAGGCCACCAGUAUAGCUUCUUAAGAUCCAGAUACAUCUUAUCUGAACCUGGGUGGACGGAAUACCGAGUGUUGUGCGCCUCGGUCAUGACCAAGUCUCGGAAGCCACCAUGUUUCGGUGUCCAGAUCCGGUUCAUGAAAUAUAAAGCUCCGUCACCCUUGGCUUCUAAAUUCUUGUCCAUUCCUCUAAGGGAUUCACUUGACACAUUUUCAGAUUUCAUGGCCUCAAGUUGAGCCGCCUGAAUUUGCUUAGUCAGGUGUGAAUGGAUGGUUAUCGAUAAUGACUUGACUUUGCGACCAGAAUAUUCCUUCCGACUUAGGGCGUCUGCUACUACGUUGGCUUUACCCGGAUGAUAACGAAUGUCGCAUUCGUAGUCAUUGAGUAGCUCGACCCACCGUCGUUGUCUCAUGUUGAACUCCUUCUGAUAGAAUAUGUGUUGUAAACUCUUGUGGUCGGUAAAAAUAGUGCUUUUUGUGCCGUACAAGUAAUGUCUCCAGAUCUUCAGGGCAAACACAACUGCCCCCAGCUCAAGAUCAUGUGUGGUCUAGUUGACUUCGUGUGUUUUCAGCUGUCUCGAGGCGUAGGCGAUGACCUUACCUCGUUGCAUCAGGACACAACCGAGCCCUUGGUUUGACGCAUCGCAAUAGACCAUGAAGUCUUCUAUUCCUUCGGGUAGGGAUAGUAUUGGUGCGGUGCACAAAGCUCGCUUGAGCGUUUGAAAUGCUCUUUCUUGUUUCUCUUCCCAGUCAAAGGCCAUGCCCUUCUGGGUCAGUGUUGUAAGAGGUUUCACAAUACUGGAGAAGUUCUGUAUGAAUCUGCGGUAGUAGCCAGCAAGACCUAGAAAUUGACGAAUUUCUGUAGGCAUCUUUGGUGCUGACCAGUUCUCAAUAGCCUUAAUUUUGGAUGGAUCCACGUGGAUUCCUGUGUCCUAAGAAUUCGAAUCUUCGGAUCCAAAAUUCACAUUUUGAGAACUUCGCAUAGAGCUUCUCCGUUCGUAAAGUUCUUAAAACUUGUCGUAGGUGCUUUCCAUGCUCUUCCUUACUCUGGGAGUAGAUCAGGAUGUCGUCAAUAGAGACAAUAACGAACUGAUCCAAGUAAGGUUGGCAUACUCUAUUCAUCAAAUCCAUGAAGACUGCGGGCGCAUUGGUCAAUCCGAAUGGCAUCACCACGAAUUCGUAGUGUCCGUAACAAGUUCGGAAGGCUGUCUUCGGCACAUCCUCCUCUAGCACUCGUAACUGGUGAUAUCUGGAUCUCAGAUUAAUUUUGGAAAAAUAAUUCGCCCCUUGCAGUUGGUCAAAUAGAUCGUCUAUGUGAGGCAGAGGGUAACGAUUUUUGACCGUCAGUUUGUUGAGUUCCCUGUAAUCGAUACAUAUACGGAAUGAUCCGUCUUUCUUCUUAACAAACAAGACUGGUGCUCCCCAAGGCGAGAAGCUUGGUCUUAUGAAGCCCUUGCUGAGCAGUUCGUUAAGUUGACCAGAUAAUUCUUGCAUCUCCGCUGGUGCUAAUCGGUAGGGCGACUUAGCUACUAGGGUAGCUCCUGGAAUUAAGUCGAUUCUGAACUCGACCUGUCUUUGCAGAGGUAAACCUGGUAGCUCUUCUGGGAAAAUGUCGGGGAAGUCGUUCACUACUGGGAUGUUCUUUAGUUCUUUCGUUUCGAGGCUCGUAUCGACAACGUGAACAAGGAAUGCACGAUAUUCCUUACGUAGAUAUUUCUGUGCUUGAAUACUGGAGAUAAUACGAAGACUUGUACUGGGUUUGUCGCCGUAGACGAUAAGAGUUUCGUUAGACGGGAGGUUUAGACGGAUUGCUUUCUCGAAGAACAUGAUGUCGGUGUGAUGAAGACUCAACCAAUCCAUGUCGAUGAUAACGUCGAAGCUUUUAAUUGAAACUGGCAUGAGGUCGAUUGGAAAUGAAUGGUUAUCUAGAGUUAGGUUGCAUCCUAAAUAUAUACUCCUGGUGCUUUCAGUUUUCCCAUUAGCCAUUUCGAUCGUGAAUUGUUCUUUAAGUGCGUGCGGUUGAUGUUUAAGUAUGUGAGCAAAUUUAUGGUUCACGAAGCUUCGCUCCGCUCCACUAUCGAACAAAAUGCAUGUAUAGGAGUUAUCGAGAAGGAACAUACCAGUCACCACCGUCGGGUCAGCAACCGCUUCCCCAUGGCUUAUUGCCAGUACUCUCCCCGAUCCACCUGCAUUCUUUGCUUUGGGGCAGUCCCUCUUGUAGUGGCCUACUUCACCACAUCCAUAGCAGGUUGGGCUCGCGCCUGAGCCGGGGACUUGGGCGAUCGGUCUCGCCGAGAAUUUAUAGAAAUGGACGGUGUGUCCUUUCCUGCUGCAGUUAGAGCACUACAUUUCACGGCAGGGGCCGUUGUGGUGGAUGUUGCAUUUGUUGCACUUAGGCAAACUUCCAGCAUACUGCCUUACCGGGGCAGUAUCAGCAGCAGGGGUUAUCGCAACAUGUACAGCCACAAUUUGCUGCUUUUUAGCAGCUCGCUGUUUCUUCUUGUCUUCCCAGAACUUCCGCUUAAUGUCAGCGGGUUUGGAGGGUUCCGGGAUGGCUAGGGUGGUUGUUGUUGCAGGGGGUUUGACUCCGUGGUCAAUGAGUCGCUGUGCCACUCGCUUGGCACUGUCGAAGGUAGCGGGGUUGGAUGCUAGGACAUUCCCAUGAUAUGGAGGCACUAGCCCCCAUAUGUACCUUUCGAUCUUUUUCCCCUCAGUGGGAACCAUAUUGGACAGAGAGCCGCCAGUUCACUGAACCUGGCGGUAUAAGCGACCACGUCGGUGCCCUUCAUGGUCAGGCUCCACAGUUCCUAUUCCAAUUUCUGGAUUUCACCCCUCGGGCAAUACUCCCCAAUCAUGAGGUCUUUCAUCGUUUCCCAGUCCAUGUCGUUGGCUACGACGAGGGUUAGAGCUUUAACGUGGCCGUUCCACCACGUCAGGGCCUUUCCUUCAAAGGUGCAUGCGGCAUAUUUGACUUUGCUCGCAGCAGGGCAUGAACAGAUUUCGAAGACUGAUUCAGUCUUCUCGAACCAUUGCGAGAGGGCAAUGACUCCGCCGGUGCCAUGGAAAGACUUCGGCUUGCAAUUGGUGAAAUCCUUGUAGGAGCACUCUCUCGAGCGCACAGGGGUUUCAACCGGAAUUGAUUCAACAGGGGUUCCACCUCUGCUGGCAUCAGAUGAGUGAUACUGAGCCAUGGCAGUUGCCACUGCUGCAGCUACGGCAACAUUCAGAGCUGCAGUAUCGAUGACCGGAGGAGGAGGAGGUGGUGGAGGUGCAGGGUUAUUCCGGGGAGAUUUGCGAGGAGGCAUCUUUCAGCUAUAAGUUUAUAAAGACAGAUACAAUGGUAAGAAUCAAUUGUAAGCAAGUUGAGAGUGACACAUGGACUAAAUAGCCACAGUCCAACAGUUGAAUGAGUGUACGAAUUAAAUUCACAAUAGGGAAGAAUAGUAGGAAAACGCAAGUGUAAAUUUUUUCUCACAGACUAGUUAGCUGUCAAUAAUACUGGUAUUAUUGAUGUAAUGGGUUCAGGGGAAAAAUCGACCUAACAGUAGGUCUUACAUCAUACCAUACGGAAAAUUUUGACAGUUACUAGAUUCCUAGUUAGCGUACUGAGAGUUAGGAAUAUUUUACAGACAAGCGCUACUUAGAGCACAGAUGUUUAAAGCUAAUCUCUAAUCAAAAGAGAGAGAUGUACUUGACAUCAUCUAAUGGCGAUGGGAAUUCCUCGGGCGAGCCCUGAGGUCGGACACUUGGCGAAACACCUCUUGAAGGUGUCGAUCCUGAGCUCUCUGACGAGCUCGAAGUUCCAAGACUUCAGCACGGGAGGCAGCCAGCUGUUGCUGCAGGGUUUCAUUGGUUCUCCGGGUCCGUUCCAUGUCUUCUUCAAGACGGCGGAUGCGGACUGUGUUGACACCUGAGUUGGCAUCAAUCUCCAUGACCCGGUCGAUGGCUGCUCGACCUUGCUCGACAUUACGAGCUAUUCUGCGGAUAAUGACAGGCAGAGCUCGGUCAGCAGAGCCACCAUCGCUGACGUUGUAAAAGCUUCGGUCCCCAAAGUAUGGUAAGGGUUGACCCUGUUCAUCACUCCAGCGAUUCAAGUUGUUUGCCCACAUGGGAGUAGGACCUGGAAACGCUGGUCGAGGGUUGUUGUUCGGGGCUUGACCUACAAGCGGUAGGUUGUUGACUUCAGGCUCGGAGUCGGAUCCAUCAGAAAAGCCUUCUGCGAGGUGAUCAUCCAAAGGGAUUGGAUGCUCAUCUUCGGGCUCUUCUUCGAUCCACCCGGCAUUGCCUUCAUUUGGAAAGUACGGGUCGCCGUGAUGGAAUCCAGCCAUUUAAAUCUACGCGAGAAGAGAGGUAUAAGAAUAUAGUAUACGUGUAACUAGUAGUACAAAAUACACCUAUAGUAUUUUAAGUUUAAGUUCUACUGAUCUUCUUGUGGUAUUGUUGGUAAGUUUUUAGACUUGUUAACAUAUCACAACCAUUCUAGGGCAUAUGCUAAUCACUCCUAGGACCAGCAUAGUUGAUCAGGCUAUGCCAUUCCCAGGACUGACCAUACAUCCCCGAGCUCACUUGUGAUAUUUAACAAUCGUAAUACUUUUGUUCUUGUCAUUGUGACACUGAUUUUAGUAUGAAUGCAGACUAGUAUACUUAAUUAAAUAUUUUAAUAUUUAAAGUAUAGACUCUUGGUCAGAGUGCUUUAAUCCCUAAUGGGUUUAUAGUUUAGUAUAUCUUUUAUGGGUUGAUAUACUUGAUUCACUAUAAACAAUGCUCUGAUACCAAUCUGUCACACCCCAAAACCAAGAACGGCGGAAACGUUCUGGGGCGGAGGACGUCAUGUAAAGUAUCACAACACAGUAAAUGUAAAUAAGCAAACAACAUCAUCCAUUGCAUUAAAUAUAUAAUUUUAAUACAAGCGUGUUCUGUACAGUUUUAGACACCAAAAAUAUAAUGUAAAUCAAAAUAAUAAGAUGAGUCUUGGAUGCGCUCCAUCUUCUCAAAAGCUGGUCUCGGUACCUGUCUACUGAUGACCUGAGAAUACAAGUUAUUUUGAAAGCGAGUAUCAGCAUUAAGCUGGUGAGUUCAUAAGUAUUUUAGUGUCGGUGUUUGUUAUCAAAACGUUUGAACGUGUCUCAAGUAUAAGUUUGUAAAAUGUAUGUAAGUGUUUGUAAAAGUUUGAAUCUCUCAGAAAAACCUAUAUUUUCUAUUAAAGUAGCCUUCUACCAAGGCUUAACUGUUUUGUAUGUUCGUUUGUUGUAAAAGUGUGUAAUUUCCCAAGUGUAACUAUCAUUAACAAAAUAUAGUUUGUACAUUAAUGUUUAAGUGAAAUAAUCACUAAAUGUAUGUAAUGGGUAAAUUAAUGUAGUACUGUAGUGUUGUAUUAUAGGAACUACUGCUGUACUAACUACCUUAAACCGGAUUUAUAUUAAGGUAUUAUGUGAUUAAUUGUACCAUACUAUCGACUGAGUAACAACGACAAAUGUAGGUCGUAAAAAGGUAUGACGUUUGGCACCCGCAGACCUGCAGGUCCGGCUGUAGCUAGCAGCAAGGUGUAGGAUAGUCAAUCCAGUAUAGAUCUAUACGCAAACUCACGCUCUCCCUCCAAGAGAUUCUGGUUACAACUCGGGCUAUGACAUUUAAGGCAUGCCCGAUACAGUGGAUCACAAUUGUAAACGUAUUCAUGUAUAGGUAAUGUAAUGUUACUUGUUCUAGUAUCGUUGUAUAUGUUCUCUUACUAGUAUAGUUGUGUAUGUUCCCUUUCUAGUAUAGGUUGUAAAUGUUCUCAUAGUAAUGCAAUGUAUAUGUUCUCAUAGUUAAUAAGUAUUGACUCAUGAAUGAACUGACUCAUUGAUCUAGAAUUUGUAGAAGUAUGAUCCUGUGUUACCCCGAUGGUAACUUACUAAUGAUGUAACUGAUACGCAUGAAUAUGGAAGUACUUUUAUGUCUAUAUAUGCACAUAUGAUAUAUAAUUAAUAUUGAAACGACCCUCGGACGGCUACCCGACAUCCCACCAGACCACAUCCAAAUCGAGGAAAAGGAAAUAGGGCGGAUGGCCUUCCUAAGCCUUUUAAACAUUUCUUAUAUAUCUAUGCAUAUAUGGACAUGCAAUUUAUAAGAAGUAUAAUAAAGUUUAAAUAAAAGUAUUUGAUAAGUAAAAGAGUUUGUAAAACAUUUUGAAGUAAAGCAGUUUGAUAAACAGUUUGAACAGUGAUAAAAUCAUUGGUUUUCUAGUUAUUAAUCACAUGUGAUUGAUGUAAUAACUAUAAGUAUUCAACUUGUAUCCCCCCCCCAUAAAAGUAUUUAAAACAUUUAAAAGUAUUUCAAAGGUUAAUUAAAGGGGUAUGAACUCACCUGUAGUGAGUGGUUCUGAUGACAAUGUUGGAUUAGACGCUAGGUGCCAAGUGGUGACUUGAGUACACGCGCGAAUCCUAUUUAGCAUAUAUUGGCACAUAUAUGGAUUUAAUUAGUGUUAUGAACAACUAAUUGAUGAUUUUGGGACCACCUUAGGGACUAGUAAACACUUAUAAUGAAGUGUUAUAAUCAUAUAUGAUUGUAUGAGGGUUUAUAAGGCUAUACAAGAGGGUGUAUGGCCAAAAUACACACUACAUGUGUGUGUGCGGCCAGGUGUGCGGCCUAGUGUGCUGCCAGCACAUGUGUGCGACCCUGUGUGCGGCCAUGUAUGCUGCCAUGUGUGCGGCCAGAUGAUGAUCUUGGUGUUCUUGGUGUUCUUGGUACCUUUUAUGAAGAUCUUCAAGGAGAAUGGAUGAUACUUGAGAGGAUUUUCGUGUUCUAUGCUUGAAGAAGUGAAUGAAGUGUUGAAGAAUGAACUAAGUGUGGCAUAUAUAUAUGUGGAGUGUGCGGUUGGGAAGGUGUGAGGCCGCAAACAAGAGUGUGUGGCUGCACACUCAAGUGUAUGGCCGCACACUC
rnacentral:lncRNA from 1 species